CUCCGCAGCCGCCUUUGUACGCGUGAUUUAUGACUUCAAUCUUGGUUCACCGAGAGUUCACACGGCUUUCGCUGCUGUUGAAGGAAAUACAUGUACAUGGUUCAAAACUCAAAAGGCACCAAAAGUUAUACAGUGACAACCUUGUUUUCUCUAGAUCAGAGAGAUGGCUUCUGGAUUCAUCUUUCCCUGCAAUCCAGCUUCUCCUCCUGGGGCCCUCAUACUGGAGACUGGGAUCAUCAUCCAGGCUUUUGCACUGGGCCAGGAAUUUGGGAGUCAUCCUGGAUCCGUCUGCCCCUGUCAACCUUUCGCUGUCAACGGAUAUUUAUUGGGCGUCCUCAACAGCCAGGCCCUGUUCAUGGUACUGAAGAACAGCUUGUAUAAAACAACCCUGCCCUCACAGGGCGAUCACCAGUGACCUGUGGUGUGGAGUCUCCUUUUACCUAUGUCUCCUCCUUCCCACUGUCACCAUCCUUGGUCCUCCUCUGUCACCUGGAAUACUCCACUUGGUAACCAGCAUGAUCUUAUAACGCUAGUUUUACCCUUGUCAGCACUUUGCCAAAAACCUCAAAUAAAGACUUUUUUUAAAAUGUGCAAUGGAAAAAUAAAGUUAUAAAUUAUAUCAUAA
ensembl:lncRNA novel transcript